GGAUUAGAUACCCUGGUAGUCCACGCCGUAAACGAUGAGAACUAGCCGUUGGAUCUUUAGAUUCAGUGGCGCAGCUAACGCAUUAAGUUCUCCGCCUGGGGAGUACGGCCGCAAGGCUAAAACUCAAAUGAAUUGACGGGGGCCCGCACAAGCGGUGGAGCAUGUGGUUUAAUUCGAUGCAACGCGAAGAACCUUACCAACCCUUGACAUCCAGUGCAAGUUCUAGAGAUAAAACUGUGCCUUUGGGAACACUGUGACAGGUGUUGCAUGGCUGUCAUCAGCUCUGCCG
rnacentral:rRNA from 1 species